UGCAAGUCGAACGAAGCACCUUACCGGAUUCUUCGGAUGAAAGUUUGGUGACUGAGUGGCGGACGGGUGAGUAACGCGUGGGUAACCUGCCCUGUACAGGGGGAUAACAGCUGAAACGGCUGCUAAUACCGCAUAAGCGCACGAGGAGACAUCUCCUUGUGUGAAAAACUCCGGUGGUACAGGAUGGGCCCGCGUCUGAUUAGCUGGUUGGCAGGGUAACGGCCUACCAAGGCAACGAUCGGUAGCCGGUCUGAGAGGAUGAACGGCCACAUUGGAACUGAGACACGGUCCAAACUCCUACGGGAGGCAGCAGUGGGGAAUAUUGCACAAUGGGGGAAACCCUGAUGCAGCAACGCCGCGUGAGUGAAGAAGUAUUUCGGUAUGUAAAGCUCUAUCAGCAGGGAAGAUAAUGACGGUACCUGACUAAGAAGCUCCGGCUAAAUACGUGCCAGCAGCCGCGGUAAUACGUAUGGAGCAAGCGUUAUCCGGAUUUACUGGGUGUAAAGGGUGCGUAGGUGGCAGUGCAAGUCAGAUGUGAAAGGCCGGGGCUCAACCCCGGAGCUGCAUUUGAAACUGCUCGGCUAGAGUACAGGAGAGGCAGGCGGAAUUCCUAGUGUAGCGGUGAAAUGCGUAGAUAUUAGGAGGAACACCAGUGGCGAAGGCGGCCUGCUGGACUGUUACUGACACUGAGGCACGAA
rnacentral:rRNA from 1 species